GAUGAACGCUGGCUACAGGCUUAACACAUGCAAGUCGAGGGGAAACGACGGGGAAGCUUGCUUCCCCGGGCGUCGACCGGCGCACGGGUGAGUAACGCGUAUCCAACCUGCCUCUGACUGAGGGAUAACCCGUCGAAAGUCGGCCUAAUACCUCAUGGUAUCGUCUGCGGGCAUCCAACGACGAUUAAAGAUUUCAUCGGUCAGGGAUGGGGUUGCGUCUGAUUAGCUUGUUGGCGGGGUAACGGCCCACCAAGGCUACGAUCAGUAGGGAUUCUGAGAGGAAGGUCCCCCACAUUGGAACUGAGACACGGUCCAAACUCCUACGGGAGGCAGCAGUGAGGAAUAUUGGUCAAUGGGCGAGAGCCUGAACCAGCCAAGUAGCGUGCAGGAAGACGGCCCUAUGGGUUGUAAACUGCUUUUAUGCGGGGAUAAAGUGAGGGACGUGUCCCUCAUUGCAGGUACCGCAUGAAUAAGGACCGGCUAAUUCCGUG
rnacentral:rRNA from 1 species